rnacentral:lncRNA from 1 species
GCCUCCGAAAAACUCACCAAAUAUAGAGGUAGCAUGACUGCAAUGUGAUGCUCUGGCUGCAGACUGCAUUGACUUGUUGAAAAAUGAAUUGCCUCAGAGCAUUCAGUCUAUCUCCUGAGCUAUUACAGCUAGGAAAGCUGGGAUUUCCAUGUGACUUUGAAGCUCAGAAUUCUGAGGCAUCUAUAUCCAGUGGUGCUUUCCAUGAGCACAGUUGAUGCCACACUGCAAUCACUGGGUUUCCAGCCCCAUCAUAGGGCUGUUCCACUCUCUCCACGGUUAGAAGGUGUUUCCUAGCUUUCAGCUUAAACAUAUGGACAACCUCUACCUGCUGCCAACAUCAUCAAGGAUGAAAGGCAAG